rnacentral:tRNA from 1 species
AUCAUAUCGGUGUUAGAUCUCGAUAAAUUUAGAAUUUAUAGUUGGCAAUUUGUCAUAUGGUU